rnacentral:lncRNA from 1 species
AAGAAUCAUACAAAUGUUGGAUUCCUGCGUAAUACACUUUCCUUUUGAUUUGAUCGAAAAAGUUUUACCAAUUUCAAACCUUCCCUUGGAAUUGGAAAUUUUCUCGAAUGGGCCCCUUUAAGUUUAUGUAUCGAAAAUAUACUUACGAAGUUGUUCCAAUUUGUUGAUUGAUACUAACCCUAGAUUCUUGCCCCUGAAAAAGAAAAAAAUACUUUCUACUCGAGCUCCAUCCUAUACUAUAUUAUACCACCCCCCCCCAAAAAAAAAGGGGGUUACAGCGGAAUAGAACAAAUGAUGUCGAGCCAAGAGCACUUUCAUUCCUAUAUAUUCCUAUAUAAUAUAUAUAAAAAUGGUGGAUGUAAGACUCCACAGCGGAUCAUGUCCUUCAAGUCGCACGUUGCUUUCUACCACAUCGUUUUAAACGAAGUUUUACCAUAACAUUCCUUCAGUUUGGAACCCAUAUGUAAUUGAUUCAAUUAUGGAAUCGUGAAUAAUCAUUGGUUCGGUUGUAUACAUAGUAAUCUAUACCUUUUCUUCUAUAUGAAAAACGGAGAGUAUCAGCAAGAAUAAAUUAAUUUAACCCCAUUUUUUUAGAUUAAUAGAGAUUAAUAGAAUUUAAUAUUGGAAAUUCUAUUUUCUUAAUCAUUGUAAAUUUUAAACUAUUUUUCUAUUUUUGUAAAAAUCAAAUUAGUUAACUAAAUUAUAACUAAUAUAACACGAAUAAAUAAAUAUAAUACGAAGAAACAAGUUAUUUUGAAUCUGUAUCUUCAAGUAAGAUAAUAGUGAUAAUAAAUUCAACAAUUUCACACUUCUUCAAGUACCAAGAACUCAUAGGGGUUCGUUACAAAGAUUUAAUUGAUUGAAAAAUUUCCUAUCCGAUAUAAUUAUUUGCAUUUUGAAAAACAGAAAGUUUUCCAGCAAGGACCUUUCGUUUUUUAUUAUCAUUUUAUCAUCAGUAAGAGAGAGGGAAAAAAAAUAUUAGAUU